UACGUAGGUGGCAAGCGUUAUCCGGAUUUAUUGGGCGUAAAGUGAACGCAGGCGGUCUUUUAAGUCUGAUGUGAAAGCCUUCGGCUUAACCGGAGUAGUGCAUUGGAAACUGGGAGACUUGAGUGCAGAAGAGGAGAGUGGAACUCCAUGUGUAGCGGUGAAAUGCGUAGAUAUAUGGAAGAACACCAGUGGCGAAAGCGGCUCUCUGGUCUGUAACUGACGCUGAGGUUCGAAAGCGUGGGUAGCAAACAGG
rnacentral:rRNA from 1 species